rnacentral:rRNA from 1 species
UACGGAGGGAGCAAGCGUUACUCGGAAUUAUUGGGCGUAAAGGGCGCGUAGGCGAUUCGAUAAGUCUGAUGUGAAAUCCCAGGGCCUAACCCUGGAAUGGCAUGGGAUACUGUUGGAUUUGAGUUCCGGAGAGGAAGGCAGAAUUCCUGGUGUAGCGGUGAAAUGCGCAGAUAUCAGGAGGAACACCGGUGGCGAAGGCGGAUCUCUGGGCCAUUACUGACGCUGAGGAGCGAAAGCGUGGGGAGCGAACAGG